UCCUAGUAGCUCAGUUGGUAAAGAAUCUGCCUGCAACGCAGGAGAUCCAGGUUCGAUCCCUGGUUGAGGAA
rnacentral:tRNA from 1 species